rnacentral:rRNA from 1 species
UACGGAGGGUGCAAGCGUUAUCCGGAAUCACUGGGUUUAAAGGGUGCGUAGGCGGCUUAGUAAGUCAGUGGUGAAAGACUGUGGCUUAACCAUGGAAUUGCCAUUGAUACUGCUGAGCUUGAAUCAGGUUGAGGUUGGCGGAAUGUGACAUGUAGCGGUGAAAUGCUUAGAUAUGUCAUGGAACACCGAUUGCGAAGGCAGCUAGCUAGACCGACAUUGACGCUGAGGCACGAAAGCGUGGGGAUCAAACAGG